AUUGAACGCUGGCGGCAGGCCUAACACAUGCAAGUCGAGCGGAUGAAGGGAGCUUGCUCCUGGAUUCAGCAGCGGACGGGUGAGUAAUGCCUAGGAAUCUGCCUGGUAGUGGGAGAUAACGUCCGGAAACGGGCGCUAAUACCGCAUACGUCCUGAGGGAGAAAGUGGGGGAUCUUCGGACCUCACGCUAUCAGAUGAGCCUAGGUCGGAUUAGCUAGUUGGUGGGGUAAAGGCCUACCAAGGCGACGAUCCGUAACUGGUCUGAGAGGAUGAUCAGUCACACUGGAACUGAGACACGGUCCAGACUCCUACGGGAGGCAGCAGUGGGGAAUAUUGGACAAUGGGCGAAAGCCUGAUCCAGCCAUGCCGCGUGUGUGAAGAAGGUCUUCGGAUUGUAAAGCACUUUAAGUUGGGAGGAAGGGCAGUAAGUUAAUACCUUGCUGUUUUGACGUUACCAACAGAAUAAGCACCGGCUAACUUCGUG
rnacentral:rRNA from 1 species